rnacentral:rRNA from 1 species
UACAGAGGGUGCAAACGUUGCUCGGAAUCACUGGGCGUAAAGCGCACGUAGGCGGAUUGCUAAGUCAGGGGUGAAAUCCUGGAGCUCAACUCCAGAACUGCCUUUGAUACUGGCGACCUUGAGUCCGGGAGAGGUGAGUGGAACUGCGAGUGUAGAGGUGAAAUUCGUAGAUAUUCGCAAGAACACCAGUGGCGAAGGCGGCUCACUGGCCCGGUACUGACGCUGAGGUGCGAAAGCGUGGGGAGCAAACAGG